GACAGAGGGUGCAAACGUUGUUCGGAUUCAUUGGGCGUAAAGGGUGCGUAGGCGGCGCGGUAAGUCGGGUGUGAAAUCUCGGAGCUUAACUCCGAAACUGCAUUUGAUACUGGCGUGCUUGAGGACUGGAGAGGAGACUGGAAUUCACGGUGUAGCAGUGAAAUGCGUAGAGAUCGUGAGGAAGACCAGUGGCGAAGGCGGGUCUCUGGACAGUUCCUGACACUGAGGCACGAAGGCCAGGGGAGCAAACGGG
rnacentral:rRNA from 1 species